rnacentral:rRNA from 1 species
CUAAGAAUAUUCCGCAAUGGACGGAAGUCUGACGGAGCGACGCCGCGUGGAUGACGAAGGCCGAAAGGUUGUAAAGUUCUUUUGCUGGGGAAGAAUAACCGCAGGAGGGAAUGCCUGUGGGAUGACAAGAACCGGCGAAUAAGCCCCGGCCAACUACGUGCCAGCAGCCGCGGUAACACGUAGGGGGCGAGCGUUGUUCGGAAUUACUGGGCGUAAAGGGCAUGUAGGCGGCUUGGAAAGCCUGGCGUGAAAGUCUGCAGCUUAACUGCAGGGGUGCGCUGGGAACUGCUGAGCUUGAGUGACGGAGAGGGAGCCGGAAUUCCUGGUGUAGGGGUGAAAUCUGUAGAUAUCAGGAAGAACACCGAUGGCGAAGGCAAGCUCCUGGCCGAUGACUGACGCUGAGGUGCGAAAGUGUGGGGAUCAAACAG